rnacentral:rRNA from 1 species
UAAUAACUUAACGAAUCGCAUGGCCUUGCGCCGGCGAUGGUUCAUUCAAAUUUCUGCCCUAUCAACUUUCGAUGGUAGGAUAGUGGCCUACCAUGGUGGCAACGGGUAACGGGGAAUUAGGGUUCGAUUCCGGAGAGGGAGCCUGAGAAACGGCUACCACAUCCAAGGAAGGCAGCAGGCGCGCAAAUUACCCAAUCCCGAUCCGGGGAGGUAGUGACAAUAAAUACUGAUAUAGGGCUCUUUUGGGUCUUAUAAUUGGAAUGAGUACAAUCUAAAUCCCUUAACGAGGAACAAUUGGAGGGCAAGUCUGGUGCCAGCAGCCGCGGUAAUUCCAGCUCCAAUAGCGUAUAUUAAAGUUGUUGCAGUUAAAAAGCUCGUAGUUGAACCUUGGGCCCGUCCUGCCGGUCCGCCUCACCGCGAGUACUGGUCCGGAUGGGCCUUUCUUUCUGGGGAAUCCCAUGGCCUUCACUGGCUGUGGCGGGGAACCAGGACUUUUACUGUGAAAAAAUUAGAGUGUUCAAAGCAGGCCUUUGCUCGGAUACAUUAGCAUGGAAUAAUAAAAUAGGACGUGCGGUUCUAUUUUGUUGGUUUCUAGGACCGCCGUAAUGAUUAAUAGGGAUAGUCGGGGGCGUCAGUAUUCAGCUGUCAGAGGUGAAAUUCUUGGAUUUACUG